AUUGAACGCUGGCGGCAUGCCUUACACAUGCAAGUCGAACGGUAACGGGUCUUCGGAUGCUGACGAGUGGCGAACGGGUGAGUAAUACAUCGGAACGUGCCUAGUAGUGGGGGAUAACUACUCGAAAGAGUGGCUAAUACCGCAUGAAAUCUACGGAUGAAAGCAGGGGAUCGCAAGACCUUGUGCUACUAGAGCGGCCGAUGGCAGAUUAGGUAGUUGGUGGGAUAAAAGCUUACCAAGCCGACGAUCUGUAGCUGGUCUGAGAGGACGAUCAGCCACACUGGGACUGAGACACGGCCCAGACUCCUACGGGAGGCAGCAGUGGGGAAUUUUGGACAAUGGGCGCAAGCCUGAUCCAGCAAUGCCGCGUGCAGGAUGAAGGCCUUCGGGUUGUAAACUGCUUUUGUACGGAACGAAAAGCCCCGGGUUAAUACCCUGGGGUCAUGACGGUACCGUAAGAAUAAGCACCGGCUAACUACGUGCCAGCCGCCGCGGUAA
rnacentral:rRNA from 1 species